GGCCUUCGGGUUGUAAACUGCUUUUGUACGGAACGAAAAGGCCCUGGUGAACAACCGGGGUUGCUGACGGUACCGUAAGAAUAAGCACCGGCUAACUACGUGCCAGCAGCCGCGGUAAUACGUAGGGUGCGAGCGUUAAUCGGAAUUACUGGGCGUAAAGCGUGCGCAGGCGGACAUGCAAGACAGAUGUGAAAUCCCCGGGCUCAACCUGGGAACUGCAUAUGUGACUGUAUGACUUGGAGUACGGCAGAGGGGGAUGGAAUUCCGCGUGUAGCAGUGAAAUGCGUAGAUAUGCCGGAGGAACACCCGAUGGCGAAGGCAAUCCCCCUGGGGCCAGUACUGACGCUCAUGCACGAAAGCGUGGGGGAGCAAACAGGAUUAGAUACCCUGGUAGUCC
rnacentral:rRNA from 1 species